GAUGAACGCUAGCUACAGGCUUAACACAUGCAAGUCGAGGGGAAACGAUAUUGGAAGCUUGCUUCCGAUAGGCGUCGACCGGCGCACGGGUGAGUAACGCGUAUCCAACCUGCCCAUCACUUGGGGAUAACCUUGCGAAAGUAAGACUAAUACCCAAUGACGUCUCUAGAAGACAUCGGAAAGAGAUUAAAGAUUUAUCGGUGAUGGAUGGGGAUGCGUCUGAUUAGCUUGUUGGCGGGGUAACGGCCCACCAAGGCGACGAUCAGUAGGGGUUAUGAGAGGAAGGUCCCCAACAUUGGAACUGAGACACGGUCCAAACUCCUACGGGAGGCAGCAGUGAGGAAUAUUGGUCAAUGGGCGAGAGCCUGAACCAGCCAAGUAGCGUGCAGGAUGACGGCCCUAUGGGUUGUAAACUGCUUUUAUAAGGGAAUAAAGUGAGAGUCGUGACUCUUUUUGCAUGUACCUUAUGAAUAAGGACCGGCUAAUUCCGUGCCAGCCGCCGCCGUAA
rnacentral:rRNA from 1 species